AUAGUCUGGUGACAUAUCCACUCGACCACAACACCUCUACAGAAAUGACAUUUUUAUUGUCAAUAGGGAAUUCUUAAUUUGGUAGGAUGAUUUGAAGGAAUAACAAAUGCAUUUUGAAACAUUUCUCUUUUGACUUCGCCUCAUAUUCAGUUGUGCUGCACAAUCUGGGAUUAAAUUAUCAUUACAAACGGGGCAUUAUUGUAAACUGGGCAUUAUUGUAAAGGGAAAUGAACAGGCUUUUCAAUGAUACCAACAUCAAGAUUCUCAAACUUGAAUAGUAGAACUUUUUCUGAGGGAUUUAGUUGAGUUCUGUCACAAUUCCUUUCAUAGUGAAUAUUAUGGCCUCAGACCUAUAGUAACAAUGUUUUCUUUAGCAGCAGUUUUUUUUGUUUGUGAUGGGUUUUAUUUGUUUAUGAUGGGUUUUAUGUGAUGGCUUUAUCAAAAUGUCUGUUGUAAGGAUAUGAUCAAGAUCCUUCAUUACAUACUUCCUGUUAUUCUUGGCUUACUUUCUCUUCUACCUUUUUUCCAUUGUUCUACUUCAACCCACCUCUCUGUUGGCAUCCUCGUCAUAUAAAACUGAUUUUGUGUAACCUUCCUACUUAAAGCUGUUAUCAACUCUAUUUUAUAAUAAUAAUAAUACACAACAUUUAUUACCAUAGGCGCUUAAUACUGUUGUUUCUAAGCGCACCAUUGUAUUUUGCAUUUGCAUUAUAACAGUCGACCAUUAUUGUAAUUGUACAUGAUUAUGAUUUUGUUCUGUUUGUGAAUCGGUCUAUAAACUUAUAUCAGUGAAAAACAAAUUUCUGAAUGGACAAUAAAUACUUCAUUUUAAAUCUAAAUUUCCUGCUUAUUCUAUACAUCAAAGAGGCAGCAUGAAGUAAAUUUGAUACGAUUUAGAUCAUAUUUUUAUUUGCCCUUCCUGCCCCUUUUCUUGAGCGUUUAUCCCCAAAUUUCUUUUAAUUGUACUCCUGGCUGUAAAAUGUAAUAAUGUGAAAAGUAUUCUCUACUAAUUUGAAAGUUUAAUAUUUUCUUGUAUUUGUAUGUACGGGUAUAUAAGAAUUUUUGGUUGGACCUUUACAAGUUGUUUAAAAAUAAUAUCAUUUUAUAUUUACACCAGCAGAAAAUGACAUUUGAAAUUGGCCAUUGAAAUUGACAGUUGGUUACUAUAAUGUUGUUAACGUAAUUUCUAAAGUAAUUUUAAUAGUCAUGUAGAAAUUAGUUAUGAGGUAACUUUGAUGUAAUGAAACAGUCCAUAUAAUUUGUUGAAAUGGUAGCUGAAAUGAAGAUUGCACAGGGUUUUUUUUUUAACCUGGAAUUGUUUUAAAUUUCCUAAGUCUUGAUAAACUCAUUACACAUGGAUCUGCUCUUAAAAUUGAUGUAGAGUUUUAUGUGAAAGAAUGCUAAACAUUCAACAAAUGAGAGGUAGAAAAUCAUUAGAUUUCAUCCUGGAGAGUAAUUUCUAACAAAGGCAGAUCCUGCACUACACAUGUAAAACCUAUUACAUUGUAGCACUGUGUAUACGCUACAGUCUACGCACACACUGACUCCGAGCUAAGCACCGAGAUUGAUAGGAUGGGAGCCAAUGGGUGGAACCUAGGAUCCUAGUGUGGAGUGUAAAGCUGUUAAAGCUAUUACAUUGCGUGUAGAUAUUUACACUACGAUUCACAGGAAAUCAUGGAUAGAAUACCAAACAUCUCGCACAUAUAAGUAUAUCUUUUGAUACAAAGAGAACAACAUGAGAGACUAUUUUUAACAUGUUUCUGUCCAAUUUCCUUUUUGCUUCCAAAACUGUAAGAGCUGGAAGGGAUCAUAGGGCAAUGCCAAAAUCUUGAAUAACAAAAAUCUGGAAUGACAAUACACUAUAGUCUGAUCAACUCACAUAAUUCUAUUUUUAUUUUGUCAAUUACACAGCCAGUGCACAUUUCCCAUUAGAUUUAUGUGAAAGUUUGUGUAACUGUUUACAUUCAAUAUGCUUGCAAUUUAAUAAAACCAUUCUUUCUUGACUCCGGCCCCCUCCCCCGCUAAACUUCUGUAUUUUCACCUUUUCAGAAUUAUUUUAAUAGAUGCUUUUAUUCAGGAAUGAAGAUGCCCCUCCUAAAUACAUUAAUUAUGGAGACGGUCAAGAGCUUGUACUGUAAAUAUGAUGCAUAUAUGUGAAUAUUAUGUAUAAAUAUAACGUAACAAUGUGUUUUUUAUAUAAAUAUUUAGGAAAUGCCAGUAUUUUCUUGCGAGUUAUUGGUAUUCAGGUAUUUCAUUUGUGAAGUACAUGUAAAUGCUUUCUUCAUCUCAGUGAAAUGUUCUUAUUAAAAACAGAUCAAGUAAACUAA